GUACAACCCCCCCCCUAUUAUUCGAAUAUUGUUUUAAGGUUAUCCAAUUGCAAACAGGUAGUUAGGUAUUUGAUAAAUAAAUAUUACGGAACUAAUUUUCCACCCACACUGAAUACACUACAGUCGGGAUUUAUAAACACGAGCGUAUAACCAGUUUUAUGAUAAUAAUAAAAUUAAUAAUAUAAUGUUACAAUAUAUAAUUGUAGUUAUAUUAUGUUGUUGAAUGCAUCAUAGUAGCAGCUCUUCAAUAAUAAGUAGCCGUUAAUAGCCGUUAAUCAAUUACUCAAUUUUUUCACGUAUAUUAUGGUAUACAAAUUAUUAUAAACACAAACACUCCUUAUACAUAAAUUACAUUUAUACAAAAUAUAGGGAAUUUAUUUUUUUUUCCAUAUUGUUACGUUUAUAACGCCACUACAUUGGUAAGUACUCCUUCUAAUUAUUUAACUGCCUAUUUUGACCUGUAUUUUGAGUGCUUUGCCCUAAAAUCGAUUUUAUCACAUAGUUAUAUUUCAAAAAUAAAUUAUUAUCUGUAUUUGCCAAUGGAGUUUGUUGAUGGGCAUUAAGAAUAAUUUUUAGACGAUCAUACAAUAUUAUAGAU